CCUACGGGAGGCAGCGGUGGGGAAUAUUGCACAAUGGGGGAAACCCUGAUGCAGCGACGCCGCGUGAGUGAAGAAGUAUUUCGGUACGUAAAGCUCUAUCAGCAGGGAAGAAAAUGACGGUACCUGACUAAGAAGCCCCGGCUAACUACGUGCCAGCAGCCGCGGUAAUACGUAGGGGGCAAGCGUUAUCCGGAUUUACUGGGUGUAAAGGGAGCGUAGACGGCAGCGCAAGUCUGGAGUGAAAUCCCAUGGCUUAACCAUGGAACUGCUUUGGAAACGGUGCAGCUAGAGUGCAGGAGAGGUAAGCGGAAUUCCUAGUGUAGCGGUGAAAUGCGUAGAUAUUAGGAGGAACACCAGUGGCGAAGGCGGCUUACUGGACUGUAACUGACGUUGAGGCUCGAAAGCGUGGGGAGCAAACAGGAUUAGAUACCCGAGUAGUC
rnacentral:rRNA from 1 species